rnacentral:lncRNA from 1 species
CCCCUGUCGGAUAGGAAAUCCCAAGUAAGGUACCUGCCAUCGGCAGAUUUGAGCUUUCUUCUUGGACACCUGAUACCCACAGUCCUCCAGGCUCCGGUAGAUUGCAAAUAACCUGCUUUCUUUCUGUUCCCGGGCUGCCUUCGGAACCCUGUGGGAGAGUAAAUCCCUAGUAAGGUACCUGCCGUUGACAGAUUUGAGCUUUCUUCUUGGACACCUAAUACCCACAGUCCUCCAGGUGUGAAAGAAAUACUCAAGUGACUGUGUUGCUGGUGGGAAAAAGCGUAUCAUUUCCUGGGGUCUUCAGGGUGCUGUUAACUGUC